GGGGCCUUAGCUCAGCUGGGAGAGCGCCACACUGGCAGUGUGGAGGUCAGCGGUUCGAUCCCGCUAGGCUCCACCA
rnacentral:tRNA from 3 species